GGUCCUGUAGUUCAGUUGGUAGAUCAUUGGACUAAUACUCCCGAAUCGAGACCGGCCCACAAGCCCCUCCGAAGGAUAUUAGAUACCCAAGGGUCCUGGGUUCGAGCCCCAGCGGGACCA
rnacentral:tRNA from 1 species